rnacentral:lncRNA from 1 species
CAUAACAUUGCUGAGAAAAGAUACAGAAAAAAAUGUAGAUAUUUACAUAUAUAGUGCAAGGUCACAGAAACUUCAGUUUAAAUUAACAAAGAUUUUGCCAUAGCUAAGAACUGGUCAGAGUCAAAUGAUAAUUAGAUAUAUAUUUAGAAUGUUGGUAUAAACAAAACCUAUCGCUGACAGUUGACAAGUAUGAAAGCACAUAUGCAUCGGUAUUUGAAUGAUAAAGCAACCAAUGCAGGAUUAUACUCUCCAACGUUGGCUCAAACGUCUUGUACAUAACUUGGGACGAGCAGGCGCUUCGACUGUAAUGCAAAAGUGGUAGCGGCUUGUUCAUGUGUUGCACCCCGUUUAAAGAAACAAUCUUGUAUGUGUGCAUUAGCGUUUCUUUGUGCCAUUGACAAAAGACUGCAACGUACAAUAUUUAUCCAUCUGAUAGAAGGCUGAUAAGAUUAAAACAUAACAUUUCUGAAGUAAAAACAGAGAAUUGCUAAACUUGAAGGUACUGUCAAUGAAGAGCAGCUAAGAAUAUCGGUGAGGAUAACUCGGAUUGAGUUUGUAUCACCCCAUUGGUUUGCAAAUUACUUUAGAAUCGUUUAAGCAUCAGACAAAACACUUGAGAAAGACGUCUACACGUUUUUUUAUAUACAAGAUCGUAAAUUAAAUAAAUUUUCCUUCCUCGACGUUUGGAAUAUUAUACGGGAUAGAAGUUGAUUAUUAAAAAAGGGAGUUUGAUACGAGAACCAGUGAAGCGAGAUAGGAAUCACUUUGGAUGGAGUCCUUGCCUGUGCGAAAAAAUAAACUAGCUUCCCCCACCUAACUCCCAUUUCAUUUGAAAAUGGAUUUUAAAGUGUGCUUGGUACCCGGCGAUUAGUUUCGACUUUUGGUGAAGCUAUUUUCUCUUCAUUUUCGUUGCCUAUACAAUCUCAAGGAAAGCAUCGAUAAUAAUGUCUCGUGGAAUCUUCUUUCAUUCUGGGACCUUGUGCGUUUAUAUUACAAAAAAAUCCAAAAAAAAA